CAGACUUAGUGGCGGACGGGUGAGUAACGCGUGGAUAACCUGCCUUAUACAGGGGGAUAACGGAGAGAAAUCUCCGCUAAGACCGCAUAAGACCACAGCACCGCAUGGUGCAGGGGUAAAAUAUUUAUAGGUAUAAGAUGGAUCCGCGCCCGAUUAGCUAGUUGGUGAGGUAGAAGCUCACCAAGGCGACGAUCGGUAGCCGGCCUGAGAGGGUGAACGGCCACAUUGGGACUGAGACACGGCCCAAACUCCUACGGGAGGCAGCAGUGGGGAAUAUUGGACAAUGGGGGAAACCCUGAUCCAGCGACGCCGCGUGAGUGAAGAAGUAUUUCGGUAUGUAAAGCUCUAUCAGCAGGGAAGAAAAUGACGGUACCUGACUAAGAAGCCCCGGCUAACUACGUGCCAGCAGCCGCGGUAAUACGUAGGGGGCAAGCGUUAUCCGGAUUUACUGGGUGUAAAGGAGCGCAGACGGCGAAG
rnacentral:rRNA from 1 species